CUAACACAUGCAAGUCGAGCGGUAGAGAGAAGCUGCUCUCUGAGAGCGGCGGACGGGUGAGUAAAGCCUAGGAAUCUGCCUGGUAGCGGGGGAUAACGUUCGGAAACGGACGCUAAUACCGCAUACGUCCUACGGGAGAAAGCAGGGGACCUUUCGGGCCUUGCGCUAUCAGAUGAGCCUAGGUCGGAUUAGCUAGUUGGUGAGGUAAUGGCUCACCAAGGCGACGAUCCGUAACUGGUCUGAGAGGAUGAUCAGUCACACUGGAACUGAGACACGGUCCAGACUCCUACGGGAGGCAGCAGUGGGGAAUAUUGGACAAUGGGCGAAAGCCUGAUCCAGCCAUGCCGCGUGUGUGAAGAAGGUCUUCGGAUUGUAAAGCACUUUAAGUUGGGAGGAAGGGCAUUAACCUAAUACGUUAGUGUUUUGACGUUACCGACAGAAUAAGCACCGGCUAACUCUGUGCCAGCAGCCGCGGUAAUACAGAGGGUGCAAGCGUUAAUCGGAAUUACUGGGCGUAAAGCGCGCGUAGGUGGUUUGUUAAGUUGGAUGUGAAAUCCCCGGGCUCAACCUGGGAACUGCAUUCAAAACUGGCUGACUAGAGUAUGGUAGAGGGUGGUGGAAUUUCCUGUGUAGCGGUGAAAUGCGUAGAUAUAGGAAGGAACACCAGUGGCGAAGGCGACCACCUGGACUAAUACUGACACUGAGGUGCGAAAGCGUGGGGAGCAAACAGGAUUAGAUACCCUGGUAGUCCACGCCGUAAACGAUGUCAACUAGCCGUUGGGAGCCUUGAGCUCUUAGUGGCGCAGCUAACG
rnacentral:rRNA from 1 species